GAUGAACGCUGGCGGCGUGCCUAAUACAUGCAAGUCAAGCGAACGGACGAGAAGCUUGCUUUUCUGAUGUUAGCGGCGGACGGGUGAGUAACACGUGGAUAACCUACCUAUAAGACUGGGAUAACUUCGGGAAACCGGAGCUAAUACCGGAUAAUAUUUUGAACCGCAUGGUUCAAAAGUGAAAGACGGUCUUGCUGUCACUUAUAGAUGGAUCCGCGCUGCAUUAGCUAGUUGGUAAGGUAACGGCUUACCAAGGCAACGAUGCAUAGCCGACCUGAGAGGGUGAUCGGCCACACUGGAACUGAGACACGGUCCAGACUCCUACGGGAGGCAGCAGUAGGGAAUCUUCCGCAAUGGGCGAAAGCCUGACGGAGCAACGCCGCGUGAGUGAUGAAGGUCUUCGGAUCGUAAAACUCUGUUAUUAGGGAAGAACAUAUGUGUAAGUAACUGUGCACAUCUUGACGGUACCUAAUCAGAAAGCCACGGCUAACUACGUG
rnacentral:rRNA from 1 species